GGACCGGCUUCCCUCAUGGCCGAGGCAGGACCCGCUUCCCUCGUCGCUGAGGCAGGACCGACUUCCCUCAUGACCGAGGCAGACCCGGCUUCCCUCAUGACCGAGGCAGACCCGGCUUCCCUCAUGGCCGAGGCAGACCCGGCUU
rnacentral:pre_miRNA from 1 species